AGCUCCAAUAGCGUAUAUUAAAGUUGCUGCAGUUAAAAAGCUCGUAGUUGCAUUUCCGAGGCAAGGGAUUAGUCCGACCUUUGGUGGGUAUUUAAUCCUCUUGCCUCGUCCUUGAGUGGUGCUUCUUGGUAUUAAGUUAUCGAGGAGAUAGCCGCUCAUCGUUUACUGUGAGAAAAUUAGAGUGUUCAAAGCAGGCUUAUGCCGUUGAAUAUAUUAGCAUGGAAUAAUAAGAUAGGACCUCGGUACUAUUUUGUUGGUUUUAGAACCAAGGUAAUGAUGAAUAGGGACAGUUGGGGGUAUUCGUAUUCAGUUGUCAGAGGUGAAAUUCUUAGAUUUACGGAAGACGAACUACUGCGAAAGCAUUUUCCAAGGAUGUUUUCA
rnacentral:rRNA from 1 species